GGACAGUGCCUGGUGGGUAGUUUGACUGGGGCGGUCUCCUCCCAAAGAGUAACGGAGGAGCACGAAGGUGGGCUAAUCACGGUUGGACAUCGUGAGGUUAGUGCAAUGGCAUAAGCCCGCUUGACUGCGAGAAUGACAAUUCGAGCAGGUGCGAAAGCAGGUCAUAGUGAUCCGGUGGUUCUGAAUGGAAGGGCCAUCGCUCAACGGAUAAAAGGUACUCCGGGGAUAACAGGCUGAUACCGCCCAAGAGUUCAUAUCGACGGCGGUGUUUGGCACCUCGAUGUCGGCUCAUCACAUCCUGGGGCUGAAGUCGGUCCCAAGGGUAUGGCUGUUCGCCAUUUAAAGUGGUACGCGAGCUGGGUUUAGAACGUCGUGAGACAGUUCGGUCCCUAUCUGCCGUGGGCGUUGGAAGAUUGAAGGGGGCUGCUCCUAGUACGAGAGGACCGGAGUGGACGAACCUCUGGUGUUCGGGUUGUGUCGCCAGACGCAUUGCCCGGUAGCUAAGUUCGGAAUCGAUAACCGCUGAAAGCAUCUAAGCGGGAAGCGAGCCCUGAGAUGAGUCUUCCCUGAUACUUUAAGUAUCCUAAAGGGUUGUCGGAGACUACGACGUUGAUAGGUCAGGUGUGUAAGUGCUGUGAGGCAUUGAGCUAACUGAUACUAAUUGCCCGUGAGGCUUAACCA
rnacentral:rRNA from 1 species